GUAGCUCAACUGGAUAGAGCACCAGACUACGAAUCUGGGGGUUAGAGGUUCAAGUCCUUUC
rnacentral:tRNA from 1 species